rnacentral:rRNA from 1 species
GGAGGAUCCGAGCGUUAUCCGGANUUACNGGGUNUNAAGGGAGCGUAGGUGGAUNGUUAAGUCAGUNGUGAAAUGUAGACGCUCAACGUCUGCACUGCAGCGCGAACUGGUUUUCUUGAGUACGCACAAAGUGGGCGGAAUUCGUGGUGUAGCGGUGAAAUGCUUAGAUAUCACGAAGAACUCCGAUUGCGAAGGCAGCUCACUAGACUGCAACUGACACUGAUGCUCGAAAGUGUGGGUAUCAAACAGGAUUAGAUACCCUGGUAGUCCACACAGUAAACGAUGAAUACUCGCUGUUUGCGAUAUACAGUAAGCGGCCAAGCGAAAGCAUUAAGUAUUCCACCUGGGGAGU